rnacentral:rRNA from 1 species
GCCCUGAGAUGAGUCAUCCCUGACCCUUGAGGGUCCUAAAGGGCCGUUGGAGACCACAACGUUGAUAGGUGGGGUGUGUAAGCGCAGUGAUGUGUUGAGCUAACCCAUACUAAUUACCCGUGAGGCUUAACCAUACAACACCCAAGAAGUGUUCUG